rnacentral:rRNA from 1 species
UGACGAGGUAGUGAAAGGUCCGCGUUCUUACGGAAUAGAACGUUAAAGGGUGUAGAUAUUGGUUUUGCAGGUAAAUCCGCAAGAUUAGUCGAACCUGAUAGUACAGUGAAGCUUCGGCCGAUCUGAUAGUGACCGUAUCCAGACCUCCGAGAAAACCCUCUAAGUUAUGGUAUAAGGAGCCCGUACCGCAAACCGACACAGGUGGGUGGGAUGAAUAUUCUAAGGCGCUCGGGUGAGCCGUGGAGAAGGAACUAGGCAAAUUGACGCUGUAACUUCGGGAUAAAGCGUACCGUCUUCGGACGGUCUCAGUAAAAUGGUUCAACCAACUGUUUAGCAAAAACACAGGGCCCUGCAAAAUCGCAAGAUGACGUAUAGAGCCUGAUACCUGCCCGGUGCUGGAAGGUUAAGGAAGGAUGUUCGGCGCAAGCCAAAGCUUCUGACUGAAGCCCCAGUAAACGGCGGCCGUAACAAUAACGGUCCUAAGGUAGCGAAAUUCCUUGUCGGGUAAGUUCCGACCUGCACGAAUGGUCUAAUGAGUUGAACACUGUCUCCUCCACGAGCCCGGUGAAAUUGUAGUAUCGGUGAAGAUGCCGGUUACCCGUCACGGGACGGAAAGACCCCAUGAACCUUCACUACAACUUUGCAUUGAUUUUGAAUUUUUGAUGUGUAGGAUAGUUGGGAGACUUUGAAGCAGCGGCGCCAGCCGUUGUGGAGUCGUCGUUGAAAUACCAACCUUUAAACAUUUAGAAUCUAAUCCCUCGCGGGAAACAGUGCAUGGUGGGUAGUUUGACUGGGGUGGUCGCCUCCUAAAGUGUAACGGAGGCUUGCAAAGGUUCCCUCAGUACGGUUGGUAAUCGUACAAAGAGCGCAUUAGUAAAAGGGAGCUUGACUGUGAGGCUUACAAGCCGAUCAGGUACGAAAGUAGGCUAAAGUGAUCCGGUGGUUCUGUAUGGAAGGGCCAUCGCUCAAAGGAUAAAAGGUACUCUGGGAUAACAGGCUGAUCUUACCCAAGAGCUCAUAUCGACGGUAAGGUUUGGCACCUCGAUGUCGGUUCGUCACAUCCUGGGGCUGGAGAAGGUCCCAAGGGUUCGGCUGUUCGCCGAUUAAAGUGGCACGUGAACUGGGUUCAGAACGUCGCAAGACAGUUCGGUCCCUAUCUGUGAUGGGCGCAAGUAAAUUGAGAGGACAUGACCUUAGUACGAGAGGACCGGGUCGUAUGUACCGCUGGUGUAUCAGUUGUGCCGCCAGGUGCAAUGCUGAGUAGCUACGUACAGCAAGGAUAAACGCUGAAAGCAUCUAAGCGUGAAACCUUCCUCAAGAUGAGUUUACUUUUAAGGGCCGUGGGAGACUACCACGUUGAUAGGCUACAGGUAUAAGGGUGGUAACAUCGAAGCCGAGUAGUACUAAUUACCCGUAAGCUUUAUCAA